CAAAGUCUAUUAAGGAUGAUUAGAAAAUAUGAGACCAUGCUAAAAUUUUCGAACUUGAUGGAAAAAGUAGAAAAGGAGGCAAUUCCAAACCGGUAGUUUUGCUACGACAAGUCUAUUUUAAAAGUUGAUAAUGGGUCUAAACAAACAUAAGAAAUAGCUAUCAAAACUCCUCAUGCGAAAAAGUAUAUUACUGUUGAGGAGUAUGAUAUUGAUAGAAUAUCAAAAAUUUCACCAUCACUAAGAUGGAAACACGUUCACCAUCCUGCUAAACUUUGUUUGACGGACCAUUCGAAAAAAGAGGUAAAAAUCCAACAACUUGUCAAGCAGCUUUUUGGCAGCUCGAUUUAUGUCCGACGAAACUAGAACUGUUAAGACUUUUUCCGAUAAAAAAUAGAUAUUUUAUAUAUUUUGUUAUUUCUAUGUCAAAUAUAAUGUUGCUGUGUUAUUUAUUAUACACCUUAGUAGGAGUGUUUCAAAACGUUAAUAAAACCCUUAUUAAUGUUAAAAAAACCUUUUCACCACUCUUCAAGGCAUGACGCAAAAAAAUUCAUCGAUAUUAUUAGAUCCAAAGGAAAAACAAAAAAUAAUUCAGUCUCUAGGCAAACCAAGUAAACAUGCUAGGAGACGUAUAAAAUAUCAAAAUAAAAAAAAUAUGUUAAA